GAGUUUGCGUGGACCUCUGUUCCCUCCCUACGCAUAGCGAGGAGCAUGACACGAACCGCAGCUCUACUGAGUACCUUCCAACCAUGGCAACCGACCAACCGUAAAUUCAGUCAUUGGCAUGGCAAACGCAACACAGGGAAUUAUCGACGUGUGGUCCCAUGGAAAUAGAUCAUCCAAGGACACACUUAUUUCCCUCCCAAAUUUUAGAAGCUACUUUAUGGUCCAGAUCAAUAUGGUAAAAAAAACCACCUAAGAUGCUUAUCAUACUACCCACUAGGGACACUAGCUACUUUAUGGUCCAGAUCAAUAUGCUCAUAACACAUGCAUUAGAGUGUAUAAUUUGCAUAGACAAUCGAUCAAGUCUGUAUUGUUUUCACCCCUCACAUUAAAGAACUUUGCACGAUCUGGUUUGCUUGGGCCCCGUGUUGUAGUAACCCUGGCUUCAUCCCUGCUACCCACUACUCAAAUACUCGAGCCUUCGAUAACUACUUUACGGGCCGCUCCUCCACACUUUUUCUUUUGUAGACCAUCCAAGACUCGAACAUCUUUUAUCAUAGUACCUACUACUCAGCCGAGAGUGACGGCGUCGCUUUGGUUGGGCAGGACGGCGAGGGCUGGGACGUUAUUCAUCAGGAAUUACAUAUUAUUCACGAAAAAUCAGGAAUUACAUAUGUUUGCUCCGCUCAGGUGCUGCAACGGACCGAAAGAAUGGAAAAGGGCCUUUCAGUAAACUAACUGCCCCAAAGUUGGGCCCUUCUAUAAACACGUUUCAUCAGGCCCUUUUAGAGAAGAACUCAAAGGGCCUGACUAGCCCAUAGAAUGGCCCAACAACAAAAAAAAAAGUGUUGAAGACGCGCCAUCCGAGCGGGCCUCCCCUCAUCGAGCAUAUCCCAUUUUUCUGGCUCGCUAAAUCGUAGGCACGCAGGCAGCGAAAAAUACAGCUUGUUGUCACUGGAAUCAUUCUAUUCAAUAUUCUGGCAUUUUCAUUCCUCGUUGAUAAGCUUCGAGUUUGCGUGGACCUCUCUUCCUCCCUACACGGCUACGCCUAGCGCUGAGCUUGUCGAGGCCUGAGCUCAGCUUGGAGACAAAGUGAGGUCCGUCCUCCUAGUCCUAGUCCAACGCAAUACCGAUACCGCUUUUCCCGAAACUUUGGCAAGCCGCAGUCGUCCUCGUGCCUGGUUUGGCACUUUGGCUCGGUGAUCAUUGACAUCAUGACCCAAGAAGAUGUAUCUGGAAGACUUGUAUAUUUCCCAAAUUGCGGCGAUAUGUUUAUUCCAAGUGCACGUACAGUACUGUUUGCAGACCGAAGACAGGCACUCUUUCAGUUUAGUUUACCUCGAUUUCUUUAUGCGGGCCCCACUUUGAAAAGUUGAAGGCCUCCGGUCCUCCACUCCACCCCACUUGCUAACUCUGUCAAAUCAUCAUCAGCGCUAAUCCUUCGGUCUUAUCGCUAAAGCUCAGCCCACUUGCUUAGUUUAGCAAGGGGUUUAGCGGAGUGGUUAACAAUAACACACCUGAUUAGAAUAAGCUCCCAGCUGGGCCACUUGCCAAUACAGCCUUCCCACAAACUGGGGGGCGGAAGGGAGGAGGAGGUGGUGGUUCCGGUUUGGCGCCGCUGUCGCGGGCACCCGUCUCUGGGGCGUCGCGUGUGGCCGCCUCGCCACGGGCUCCAAGAGGCAAGGCUCUCUUCCUGCUCCGGCGCGUGGCGGGCACACGCCCUCCUCCUCGAGUCUUCGGUGCGCUCAGCGGCAACACGGUGGGCCGCAGAGUGGAGACCGUCGCCGAGCAUCGCCGAAAAGCUCAAAACCGCGGGCCGGGGCGCCCGGCACGCGCGGACAACUUGACCCCAGCCGGGCCAGGGCGCCCGGGUCUACACGUCUGGCUGCCUGUUGCCGUCGCUGUCCCCCGCCGCGCCUCGCGACAGCGGCUUCAGCGCGGACGCAACUUGGGAGGAAGGCAAGAGGCAGAUGCAUUGCACCUCCUGCCCAACCGCCGAAAUAGCGAUGGCGACGAGGGGACACGAGCAUGCGGGCCCUUACCUGCGUGUCCGCGGCGGCCGGCCUUAUCCCCUCACACGCUGCGAUGAAGCUGCACGCCCCGCUCAGCUGCUCUGCUCUCCUCGCCCCGCGAAUUUUGGAGCUCCCACGCCAUGCCAUGACCCACCGCUUCUUCCUCCUAGCCCAGCGCGUCCUCCCCCUAUUUAACAGCGCCUCCUCGUCGAGCCGAGACCACCCAUUCCAAACCAAACACAAGAGCUAGCUAGCGUCCGACUAGUGACUCGCGUCAACAACCAGCAAGCAGAGAGGCAAGAACCCAAGAGAGAAAGCAAGAUGUGUGGUGGUGCGAUCCUCGCCGAGCUCAUACCGAGCACGCCGGCGGGCCGCGUCACGCCGGGCCACCUCUGGCCGGCGGCAAGCAAGGGCAAGCAGCAGCGGAGGGCCGACGACUACGAGGCGGCCUUCCGGGAGUUCGACGAGGAGGAGGAAGAGGUGGAGAGCAAGCCGGCGUUCGCGUUCAGCGCUUCCUUCGCCGCGACGAGGAAGCUAAGGAGGCAGCAGCGCCAGGAGCUGGCCGCGCCGGCGCCGAGCAGGCGCCGCAAGGCCGCCCAGUACAAGGGCGUCCGCCGCCGCCCGUGGGGCAAGUGGGCGGCCGAGAUCCGCGACCCCGUCAAGGGCGUCCGCGUCUGGCUCGGCACCUUCCCCUCCGCCGAGGCCGCCGCGCUCGCCUACGACGCCGCCGCGCGCGACAUCCGCGGGGCCAGGGCCAAGCUCAACUUCCCCUCACCCGCCGACGCCGUCCAGAACAGCCGCAAGCGCGGCCGCGCCGCCGAGGUCGUCGACCUCGUCGCCGACGAGGAGGACGAGGCCAGCGAGAGCUCCGAUUCCGGCGCGCUCCCGGACUUCUCGUGGCAGGGCGUGUCGGCGUACGACGAGGAGGCCCCCGCGGCGCACCCCGCCCUGGAGGCCGCCGACCAGAGCAGCGGUGGCGCUAGCAAGCGCCAGAGGACCGAGCCGGAGAGCGCCAACGACGAGGCGUCGCCCCGGGCCUCCGACUCCGAGUCGGACGCCCUGUUCGACGCGCUCAUCUUCGGCGACCAGUUCGCCUACUUCAACGGCGGCGCGUACGAGUCCCUGGACAGCCUGUUCAGCGCGGACGCCGUGCAGGGCAGCAGCGCCGCCGUCGCGGCGGACGAGGGGAUGGGCCUGUGGAGCUUCGACGACGGCUGCCUCGUCGAGGACAACCUGUCGUUUUAAGCUUCCUCGCCUGUGGUCAUGUCUUGUAAACUACGGAUGGUUUUGUAAAAUUUUGUCUAGUUUGAAACCUUCAAUCGAGGAAGAGCUGCAAUUACCGUUCUCUUAACAUCUUUCCCGGAUCGAGGAAGAACAGAAAUUACCGUUCUCAAAAACAUGUUGCUCUAUCCUUUCACAUCCAAGCGUUGAUAGUCAUCUAGCCUUUGAUGAGGAAUUCUAUUGCAUCAAGUCUUACUGACUGCUUGAGUUGAUCAAUGUUAGUUCACAAAGAAAAAAUGGUUUAGGGGGUGUUUUUUUCUAGAGCUAAACUUUAGCCCUGUCACAUUAUUAGUCUUAAUAGAUUCGUCUUGUCUAGAACGUGUCACAUUAUUAGUCUUAAUAGAUUCGUCUUGUCUAGAACAUCUGCAAUUAGAUUUAAUAGAUUCGUCUCGCGAAAUAGCUCAUUAUUUCUGGGAUUUCUACAGUUAAUUUUAUAAUUAGUUCAUGUUUAAUUAGAUUUAAUAGAUUCGUCUCGCGAAUUAGCUCAUUAUUUCUGGGAUUUCUGCAGUUAAUUUUUAAAUUAGUUCAUGUUUAAUUAGUAUCCGAAUCUUUGAUGCGAUAAGAAAAGGACAAACACGCCCUUCAACUAGAAGGAAAUUGAAACGACGAACGUGGUUCUUUUCUGUUCCUAAGGUAAACAGUCGAGAGCAAGGACCAUUGAAAACAGGCGAAGCAUGUAUUCGCACGCAAAUCGCGAGGCUGAAUUCCACUGAUCGUCCUGUGGAGUCUGCAAGGUCGCGUACUCGCGUGCACCAUUAGUGCGUUGUUCCACGAAUGACCGGAGAGAAAGAAGUCUAGAACCAGCCAACCUUUAUCCAGCCAGUGCAAGAUUAAAUUACGAAGAGAAACAUAUAAUGAUACUUUCAUCUGACAUGUUUUUACUCUUUACAUAUAAUAUAUCAGGACAUGUUAAAUUAGGAAUAUGUAACAGUUUAUAUAUGCGAUUGUUCAAAUGAUUGACUUAUGAUUAUGUUUUGUUUAAAAUUGACAUUGAAUUGAAAAUAACAUGAUCAGUGCACCCAAGUUCACCAAUUCAAUUAAAUUUAACAAACUCAAUAUUGUCCUCAUGAUUUGCAAUUUAUGUUAUGUUUAUACAAAAUCUACAUAUUUAAAAUACAAAACAAUUAUCCUUAUAUGGUUUCUCUGGAGACUAGAAAUAUUUGUUGAUUCCUAAUGCAAUGAAACCAAAGAAAAUGUAGAAUGUUUAAGACAACCAGGCCAUUUUGUAAAACUAGUAUAGAAUUUGCGAACUAGGUUCUUUGUUUUUUUUUGAAAAAACAUUACCAUUUGGAUCUUUGAGCCACGAACUACGCACAGGUACUCCCAUUUCCUGACAAUUUUGUUCACUCGCUUUGACAGCGAGGUUCAUUUGAUUAGUUUAUGAGUAUGAUGAUUUAUCAUUAUUAUAAAAAUAAGAAAAAAGUUCUAUUUUCACCCUUAAACUAUCACAAAAGUCUAAUUUCCAACCUAAAACUACAAUACCAAACAACUAGGGCCAUUUAGCUAUCAAAACGGGGCAAAUUUGGCCUUUUGGAUGGUUUAGAUGGUGGUUUUGCAUUUUGUAGAAAUUUUAAAAUUUUUGAUUUAAUCAAAAAAUUCAUAACUAAUUCAUUUCAAAUCCAAAAAAUAUGAAUUUUUUACUAAAAGUUUUCUAAAGGGGCAGGUUGAUGAGCAUGAGCCUUGGCAUUUUGGAGAGGAUGUGCUCUUAGAUCUUUCUCUUUGUGUGCAAUAUGGAAAUUUGGCGGAAGGGCAUACUGUGACACCGCUGCGCUACAGAACUGACGCAGGAGGCAGAGUUUAUCACCUUGUAUUUUACAAAUCGGUGAUUCAUUCGGUGAUGACAAAGGGAUACUUUUGAAUAUUCGGACGAAAAAAGAAGAAGAGAGAGGAUGACAAGAUGAACUUUGCCAGCUGCAAGCAUGAGCCUCCCAGACGAUAGGGAAGACAUUUGUAUUCUUUUUCAUUAUCAUCAUCAGUUGCAUUAUUUUGUUGGCAACUCUCAGGACUCAGGGAGAGGAGAGACACUGAACUUGGCUUUCCCUUGCUUGCAAGGCGUCCCUCAAGUUGCAAAUUGUCAAAGCUACAACAUGUCGCAGUCUCACCAUCAGAUCAGCCAGCACGGCUCGGAGAGGUGUCGACAUACCGCGCACCAUCCCAUCAUCUAACAGGCACAACAACGCCGUCAUCUCUUAAACAAACAAGCCAAGAUGUUGCCAUCUUCUCCUACCCCCUAUCAUCUCAUCAGGGCUCCAGUCCAGGCCAAGCCUGGCUGUUUGCGUACGUGCACAGUGCGCCUGUAUCUUCAGCACUAUUUUGAUAGAUACGAGCGGGUGAUCCGUACUCCGGGUUUUUGUCAUGCAUGAUGCGUGUGUGUCUCCAAAGCUGGCCUCCAUUUUUUUUUCCGCCGUUCCAUCGCCACACUGCCAACGAACUAUAUGAUGUGUGGAAGUGGAAAUGAAUCUGAAUGUUUAGAGAGUGGUAUGUGCUUCUCUUGUGGCGACAAUGGGUGGACUCAAACUGUUAAGAAUCAAAACUAUUACUGCCUGUAAUUUUAGGUUAAGGUAAAUUAGACUCGCGCGUGCCCGACCUGAUUGGUACCUGAAUUUUCCUCAUCUCCCUCUUCACUCCAUUCAAUUCUCUUCUUCUUCUUCGAUGAGAACCCAAACUGUAUUGUGUGGCUAUGGCUUCGGUGAUUCUUCCUUUUCUUACCUCCCCAUUAGGCUGCUCAUCAUCUUCAUCCUAUCCUUUUCAUCAUCCUCAGCUGUUGUUCGUCGUCCCAAAUGCAAGUCCCGGCGACACGUUUGUUCAGUGUGAGAUACCGCUCUCCCCUUGAUACCUGGGACUGGAAGUGAUCCAUGGUUUUGCAGUGCAGCGUUCAGCAGAAAAGCUGGUUAGCACCGCGGUGUCGAUAUAAUAAUCAGGUGAUUGCCGAUUGGAUGGUCCAUUGCAUAAACAAUGACAGGCGUAGCUAGCUAAGAGACGACGACUGUUUGCAGUAGUCCAGACAAAGGAGCUUGGCUGCUUAGGUAAGGUAGCACGACGACUCGAGUGCCGUGGCUCAGGAACGCCAGGAUCGCUACUUUGCUAUCGGAAAAGGUAGUAUCAGAUGGGUGGAUUAAUAUACGCAUCCAGUUGAUGAUGAAUAGGCUCGUAGCAAAAUAAAACUAGCGUGAUCCGUCCAAUCGCAUGAACUAGCUUUAAGCGCCACGAAAGUAAACUCAGCGUCCACUUGGUGGAGAUGGAUACAGCCUUGCUGGAAACUGGCAGGCCGUACCAGGUUUCGGAAUCGCACGGUUCCCCCUUUGAAGCUACUGUCAGCGGGAACACAAGGAUCGAAUUCACAGUUUUACUGAAAUCCUUCUUUUUAAAAAAAUACUGAAAUCUGUAAUACACUAAUACUGCUAUACUGUACUUCAUUUGAUAAAAUUUUGCAAAUUCAAUGGCCACUUUCAGAAGAAGAACGAUGAGCUGUUAACCUGCUAAGCCCAUGCGGACAUGUUGACUUUCAGGUCGACGUGAAUUACUGCAGAGAGAGACGCGUCAAUGAAGGACGUGUUAAGCCAUCAUGCCGUGCAGCUUCAUCUGAUCGGAUCCGGAUGCCCUUUCUCGCCUGUCGCCUGUGGGUGGGAGAGUGAAGUGCAAACCCCAUCAGCCCAUUGGUACCUGCCAUCGGCCCGGCCCUUGAACGAGCCUUGCCGUCGUCUCCCAUCAGUUCUGGAGCCAGCCACGCGCCCUUGCGGCUAAUCGUACUCGUCGUUUCGUACGUGCUGACUUGGAUGUCCCUUUUCUUUCCACUAGUCCAUCAACCCGUGCUCCCGCACGGACUAAUAUUUUUAGAAGCUAUUGUAUUUGAAAAUUAUUUAGAAAUUAAAUUCCUAGCUAAUAAUCAAAAUUGAUUUCCUACUACUCUCUUAUUUUUUUCAAUACGUCAACAUAAUACUUAUAUAGAUAUGUACCUAUCUUUGUUCAGUUGUGAUUGAUUUUUAAUUAAUAAUUACUCUAUGCACUUUUUCAUCCAUAUUCAUACUUUUUCCAUUUUGUAUUAUAUCUCCAAUCCUCCAUACAUUAUGUUUAGCAUACAAAUCAAUAUUUUUCAUCGAUUCCUCACAUACAUGUAUAAAUGGUCUAAAUGGUGACACUCAUCAUGUGUAUAUACUUUAACUUAGUAUUUUUAUAUUAAUAAUGACAUAAAUAGGUAAUUUAGAAUCAUAUAUUAUUUUAUUUUUUGAUAUUUUUGUAUGAUACACAUGAAGAUAAUUAGAUUAAGAUUUAGAUUACGUGGGUAAUAUAGAUAAAAUUUUAGAAUGACAUUUUAAGUUAUGCUUUAUAAUGAUAUGUAUUAGUAAAUUGGAUGAAGAUUAUGGGGUUACUUUAGAUUAUUUUUUAUAAUAGCUGAGCUCGGUAAUUUAGAUAUAGGUUUAGAGCUCAUUUUUGAAUAUUUUCACAAUGAUAGUGGUGGGUAACUUUUUAGAAAAUAUAAUGGAUCAAUGGCUAUGAUUAUUAGAGUUUACAGGAUUGGUAUUUGAUGUUUUUGAUUUUUAUGAGAAUUUGUCUCUUUUUUCUAGCUUGUCUCGUGGGAACUAAUGCGGAGCCUCUAAUGGAAAAAAAAUGGGACUACAUUGCUAAAAAAAUAUUACCAUAAGCUACCUCUCGUUUGUUAAAUAUUCAAACACAAUACUUAUAUAGAUAUAUACUUAUUGUCUUCAUCCAAUUGUGAUAGAUUUUAGUUAGUAAUUACUCUAUAAUAUUUUCAUCCACAUUUAUAAUCUCUAACUUUUCACUUGCAUCGCAGGUAUGCACUUCAAUUUGUUCAAUGAACCCAAGUUUGUGAUAGAAUUUUAAUAUAGAAAUAUAUAUUCUCAUCACUUCCUCUAUAUCUUUAUAAAUGGUGACACAUCAUGUAUAUAGACCUUAAUUAUUAUAUCAUAUAUCAAUAGUGCAAGAUAUAGACGAUUUAGAAUUAUAUAUUGCUGUAUAUUUUUUAUUAAGGUUAUUUGAUUCAAACGUAGGGUUAUCAUGUUAUUUUUAAUAAUGGCAUAUGUGGGUAAUAUAGAUGCAAAUUUAACGGGUUACUUUAAGUUUUUAAGUAAUAGUGGUGGGCAAUUCGGUUGCAAAUUAGGGGGUUAUUUUAAAUAUUGUUUAUAAUGGCAUAAGUGGGUAAUUUUGAUGAAGAUUAGGGGGUUACUUUACUUUAUUUUAUAUAAUGGCAGAGGUGGGUAAUUUAUAUAUAGAUUUAGGGGGUUACUUUAGGCUAUUUUCAUAAUGGCAUAGGUGGGUAAUUUUUUAGAAAACAUAAUAGAUCCAAUGGCUAUGAUGAUUUGAAUCUAUCGAUUGAUGGUUGGAUGUUUUGCUUUUUUGUGAGAAUUUCUAGGAUUUCUCUCUUUUUCUAGAGUGUAUAUAUAGAUUUAGGGGGUUACUUUAGGCUAUUUUCAUAAUGGCAUAGGUGGGUAAUUUUUUAGAAAACAUAAUAGAUCCAAUGGCUAUGAUGAUUUGAAUCUAUCGAUUGAUGGUUGGAUGUUUUGCUUUUUUGUGAGAAUUUCUAGGAUUUCUCUCUUUUUCUAGAGUGUCCACCUAGGAAUCCUAGGUGGCUUCACCUGGAAGCUUCAAAAGGAGCCUCAAAUUAGUAAUAGUAAGAUAAGAUUGUUUCCCUCUUCGUUCGGGACGAGGCCUCGCCGUCGCGGUGACGCGAUCGCGCAACGCUUUUCUUUCCUUCUCACGCCUUUGCCCUCACGACCUCCAUAAAUAGUCGCCACCGCCGGCGACCAACACCAUCACAGCACUACACCGAUCCACAGCUGCUUCACCGCUCACGGCCUUCUUCAUUCCGACAGAGCACACUAGGCAUCUAAUAAGCUAAGCUAGCAAGAUGUGUGGCGGUGCGAUCCUCGCCGAGCUGAUACCGAGCGCGACGGCCGGCGGCAAGGGCCGGAAGCGGGCCCCCGCCGCGGCGGCCAAGGACGACGACUUCGAGGCCGCCUUCCGGGAGUUCGACGAGGACUCCGACGAAGAGGUCGUGCUGGUGACGGAGCGCAAGGCGUUCGCGUUCGGCGCCGCUGCCGGGGCUCGGCGCAGCAGGCGGCCGAGCCAGUACCACGGCGUCCGGCGCCGUCCGUUGGGCAAGUGGGCGGCCGAGGUCCGCGACCCCGUCAAGGGCGUCCGCGUCUGGCUCGGCACCUUCGCCACCGCCGAAGCCGCCGCGCGCGCCUACGACGACGCGGCGCGCGACCUCCGCGGCGCCGGCGCCAAGCUAAACUUCCCGACGUCGUCCUCCGCCACGGCGCGCACCAGCAAGCGCAGCGCCGCCGGCGCCGCCAAGGCGGUGCCGUACGUCGACCUCGUCGACGGAGACGAUGUUCCUGACGCGGCGCACGCGCCGUCAGUCAAGAGCGAGGCGGAGACCAGCGACAGUGUCUCCGACGCCAGCGGCUGCAGCACCCUGCCUGACUUCUCGUGGCAGGGCAUGUCCGCGACCGACGACGGCGCGACGUGGCCUGCUGCUGGCUUCCACGUUGAGCUCGGCAGACCCAGCAAGCGGGCCGGGACGGAACCCCAGGAACCCGAGGAGGAGGAAAUGGCGCCUCCACCGGCGGCGUCCGAGGAAUCCGCCGACAUGCUGUUGGACGCUUUCAUGUUCGGCGACCAGUUCAGCUUCUUCAACGGCGGCGCGUACGAGUCUCUGGACGGCCUGUUCGGCGGCGACGCGUCGCUGUCGCUGGGCAACGAGGGCGUGGGGCUCUGGAGCUUCGACGACACCGUGUGCUAUUAGGCUUAAGCUUUCCUUCAUUCAUCUACCCUGUUUUCCCGGAGAAGUGCUCGCUUCAUCGUCCUGCACUGUUGCUCGUGUUCUGUACAAAUGCUCUCGUUGCUAUGAAUCCUUGUGGUUUGUAAUCACAUGUUGCAUCAUUGAGGUUUUCAAGUCUUCAUCUUCAGUGACCACGUGCUUAACUGAUUGUAAGACGACCUGCUAACAUCUGAACUGAACGUUACAAUCUGCUUCUUGAUCGCUCCUCGAUUUGUUGUUACUUUCUUCAUCAUACAAUAUAUUAAGUUCAAAAUUUUGAUUAAAGUUGGAUAAUUUUUUCUUAGGGCAAAAUUAAAACAAACUUAAAACAGAGAGAGUAACGUUCAUCUCUGAAGAUUACGCGAGACCUCACCAUAGCGUUCAACCGGAUAGGUGGUGUACUAAGAGGAUGCUGCUCUGCGACCUUUUAGCCUGACCGUAGGAAGGAAAUCGAUCUUGCAAGUGUUUGCACGGCAAUCGGCACCAGACCCAGCCCAACUGCGGAUUUGGGUUGAAGCAACCAACCGGUCGUGUGGUAACGCCUGACACAUCCCAACCUGGCAGUGGUAGCUGAAACAUCGUGUGGUGCCGAGCAGAGGAGAGGGGAGGACGAGGGAGUAGGAAACAUCGUGUGCCGGUGGUCAAGAAGAAGAAGAAGGGUGCUGUAUCGCUGGCGGCUCUCCUCCUCCUCGUCGUCCUCUCUGGUGUCUCUGUUGCAUCAUCCGUGCGCCGCCGCCGCAGGUGCUACCGCAUCAACAAAGACGGCAUCAAAGUAGGGCUGACCGGGGUCGAGCCCUUGGUGGUGGCCAACAAGCCAGGAGUCCUGAGCAAGUGAGCAUGUCCACCAUGGGACUGUGGGUCUUUCCGGAGGACGGCACACCUUGUUCAAGAAAUGCUUCUAUUGUCCCGACCAUCCUUCGGUCGGAGUUCGAAAUUUGCUGAUGCAAGUCCAUCUAGUUCAUUCCAGGCAAAAAUCAAUUACUGUGAUUUCCUUCUUAUAUAAUCUGAGUUUAGUUGCCAUGAAAAAUUCACAGUUUCUUUUUUUCGCGCUUCCAUUCCUACGACACAUGCAUGCCGCAGAUCUGUACAUAGUUUUAAUUUCUUCUUUACGAAAAAAAGGAGCUACUGUAGUAUAUCGGUGAUGCUCCUCGUACCUUCCAGCGAGAUGCAUCACGCACGCACGUACACAAAAGAAAGAAAAAACAAAGAAUGUUAGUACAAUUACAUAACCUCCUCAUAGUACUUAAGAAAACAAAAGCAUGAGAAAACAACCUAGUAAUGGAAUAGAGUAAUCGAAUGUGCAAGAAAACAUAACCAAAAUACAAAUGAAAGUGAUGCUUACUUGAUUGAGUUGUACAACCAACAUUAAUCUGCAAGUUGCUAGUCUACUACUAACUUAAUCUCUAAAGUCUGAACAAACUACAAAUGUACCAACGGAAGUAAAUAGGCUCAGAGUGGAGCGGACGUGGUGGGAGGGGGAGGGGGGGGGCACAACCCCCCUAAAAGAACUAAAAGAAGAGGUGGAGAUGGAGGAGGAGGAAGAUAAUCCUGCCUCCACCACUGGCUCAGAGCACAAGGGAGCGUAAGGCUAACUAAAGGAUAAAUCAACGCCAUGGUGAUAAUUGCGGGUGGCUCACGGUGCUCUGCCUAGCACCUGAACUUGGAUUUCAACGGGUAAGAAGAGCAUGUUGGGCAGCACGGACGGUGGUGCCGGUGUCCCUGGCUCUGGGAUCAUCAACCUCACCGCCGGUAGGAUGAGCUCGGGGUGGUAGGUCCAAGUCAAGUAGGCGAGCAUGUUGGGCGACUCGGGGCGGUAGCCCCGGGAUCAUCAAUAUCUCUGCCGGUGGGAUGAGCUCGGGGCAGUAGGUCAAGCCCGGAGCCGAAACUCCACCACGUCGGCGCGGUUGGCCGUGUUGGCGUGGAGGCGCUCAAUCCAACGGGGUUGGAAGAGUACCGCCUCCGUCGUAGCAAUCUCCCAGUACGCUAGUAGACCUGUGAUGGAGAUCUCCACGUAGUGGACUCGCGAGCCGGAAAGGACGCGUUCAACGUCCGCCAUCGAUGGCAACACCACCAUGUACCCGGCCGGGAACUGGUGGAUAGUGAGGUUGCAUGCGGAUUGGGGGCUCCAGCCACCACCAUGUACCCGCCCGGGAACCGGUGGAUAGUGAGGUUGCAAGAUAGGGGGCUCAAGACCCACCCACCCCCGCGCGGUGCAGGCGUUUGUGUUGCGUUUUCCAUCGCUGACAACUUGCACUGGGUCGGUCGAUCCAAUCCAUCACCGACACAGCUCGCUUGUAUUAUUGGGUUCAGUCAUUGUAUUCACUCAUGCCUCCAUGCAUCUAUCGUGCGUUUUCUUAAGCCCGUGCGUGGUUAAUUAGCUACAUCUCGAUCUAUCCUCAUGCAUCAUCUGGCAUUGUUAGUGCUAUACACGGACGACAGCUGCGUUUUGUACCUAGAACCAGAAGUUGAAAGGCAGGAGCUGCGUUUUCUAGACCGGUUCGUCAGCUGCGAGUCGGUGCGGCUAAAAAUCAACAGGACAUCCUCCAUACAUUGCUGAGCAGUAACACGUCAGAAAAUCGUGCUGAUGGAUCCAAAGGUGAUGAGCAUUAAUUGUUGCCUCGUUGGUGAUGGGGUACGGUGGCAGAACCAAAUAAUAAAGCUAGGAUGGGCGACCGGAAGUGCCAUGGAGCCUUGGAGGCAUGCAGGGAAAGGAGGUUGGAGGCUUGGAGCUAGCUAGAAAUGCAAACCAUGGGGAAUAGAGAGGUUGGUGACGACGAAAGGUGGAGGAGCGUAUCUUUCCUAGCUUGUUUGUCUCACUGGCCGCUCGUUGUCAUCGAAAGCAAGCAGACGCAUGUUGCGGCUGGGCGCACUGCAAGCAGAUGCAUAUGUGUCCCACUGAUGUGCCAGCUGAUCGGUCAAGUCUGUUUUGUCCAGCAACAUGGGCGCUCUCAUCCGUCUUGGAUGGUGACGGGAUCGGAUAUGCUGUGGGGUGACGGACAUGGCGCGGCCGGACGGACGGACUUGCUGGCUGGCUGGACACAGACGAUCCGUGCAGUGGAACGUAUGGCAUGCUGCACCAGCUAUACUUGUCCCGUUGGGCGAGCACCAACUAUACGCUCGUGCACCUCAAGUGAUUCGCGCACUGCUCGCUCAUCUAUAAAGGCAGCAUAUGCACAUGCACAUGUUCAUUCACCUCUUCGGCUAGACCUCCAUCUGGAAAAGUAGGCACUGGUUCACGCACGGUUAAAUUCACAUCAUGAAACGAACCUGCAGCCAAUCGAGCUAUGUGAUGAUGCAGCCAUCUGCGCUUCGUCGAUUCGAUGUUAAUCCCGGCCAUCAACGGCAACCAACUUGAGCCAAGUGUACCGACGCGGUGCCCGUGUACCGCGAGCUGGCCCCGGGAGUUUGCCGUGUGCGGCAGCUGGUUCGCGUCCAACCAGGCGUGCACGCAGCCAACCGGGUAGCUAUUCGUGGUCCGCAACGACGCCAAGCACAGCUCGUCCCCGGCUUGCUGCAGCGCACCAUCUUCUAUUCGGCGCACUGCUGGCUGGCUGGCUCGCUCGCUCAUAGUCCACAAAGGGAUCGGAGGCAGCACCGCCCCGCAGCAGGGUCAUAUCCGUCGUCAUCGAUCCAUUUACAAGGCGAGCCACCGCUCCCGCUUGCCCGCAGCAUGCAUCGCGCUGCUACUGCUCGCAGCAUGCAUCAGUAUGUAAGCAUUUCACUUUUUCACCUUGCUAAGGCAAGUGUAAAUAUUGUAAAGUUGCCGAUGAUCUUUCCCAAAGUUGAGCAGCCAUAUGCCGCCCUCGGGCAUACCAGGUUGGGAAAACCAGGGACAGAGUACAUAGCGGCGGAUUUUUGACGUACAAGUGUACAGCAGAUCUAUACUAUACAUUAGUAAACAACACUACCUCUAAAAAAAUAAUAAGAACGCAACAGGUUUUAUAUGUAUACGUGGACAGAUAGGCUGAAGUCAUGAGAACAAUGUUCUUCCAAAGAGCGGCGUGGCAAUACAAGCCUCUAGCGUACCAAGCAAGCGGCGGCGGCUGCUAUGGCGGUUUGGCAAAUCAUAUGACCUUCAAGAAGUAAGGGAUUUGCUGGUUGGUCAUUAAUUAUUUUUAUAUGAAAUAAAUUUGUCCUAUGCCAACAACUCUUUUUGGGCGUCUCUUUGACGUAAUAAAGACUUUAAGCAAUAAAAAUAAAAACUUGUGCAAGAGCUUUUCUCUAGUAUCUCGAUUGAAUGCUGGAUCCUAAAAAUAUUCAUUCAGAUUUCUCAUGUCCCAAGGACUUGUUUGUGAGAAGAGUGAAUAUAUACUUACACUCUAUCUUUUUAAUUCUCGAAAAACCUGUCGAUUCCAUUUACUGGUACUAUCUAAUUUUCGAUUUUCAAUAUAUACAAACGUAUUAGAAUUUUUUUUGAAGGAGCAACUUACUGGAAUUUUAAAAGGUCAAACUCUAUAAGUUUGACAAACAGUUAUUUCAUUUUAAUAUGAUAUUGAUUUUAUAACAAUUAAUCACAUAUUCAAAAGGUAAAUUAAUCGUCCAAAAUACUUUAAAAAGAAAGGCAGGGAGUAUAUUGUUUGCUUUUGCCAGGUAGGCGGAAUGUGGUGACCACAAGCCAUACUCAAACAUAUGACUAUAUGAGCAUUGGACGUGCGAUUCGUGAUGAAGUAGUCAAAAGUACUAGCUGCAUUAUGAUGGAGACAUGCUUAAUAAAGGUGUUAGGGAGAUAAGAUUUCUGUUUAGCUGAUGUGCCCAUUCUAAUCCCUCAUUAGCUGUUUGUUGAUCUGUUUGCUCUACCUUAAAACUGUAAGUUGUUGGCGUGACGACUGAAGGCAGUUGUUGUUAUGUGACCGUGACAUCAUUGCUCAAGUAAUCAACAUGGGCUGUUGCAGUGGAACGAGCGAGAUUAGGGCGCCGUCGUCCUUUUGUAAGUUUAUCAUUGACGGCCAAGUGGGGAGGAACGAGGCCUUUGCACAAGUAGCUCUGGAUGGUUGUCAGGCCUGAAUGACGAGGAGGGAUGAACCGGCAGCUGAAGGGACAGUCACCCAGACAGUUUCAGAACAAGUGGCAUUAACUGACGAACGGAGCACAAGAUACUCCUCCAAUUGCAGGAGCACGCAUAGUAGGACGAUUCUUCAUUAGUGCUAAACUGCUAAUGUAAUCAGCCCAAGCAUCGACCAGAGUUCCCAAGUGAAGCGUUUGAACGAAAAUGUUUCCAAAAAAAAACGUUGAACGAACUUACAGCACCUAUCUACUCCCUCCAUUUCAAAUUUCUAUUCACUUUAAUUUUAGCAUAAAUCAAACUUAUCUAACUUUAACUAAAUUUAUAAAAAAAUAUCAAUCUCUACCGUAACAAAUAAAUGCACAAUUAAGACAUAUAUUAUAGUGGAUUCAAUCGAACUAAUUUGAUGUUGUAUAUGUUGACUUUUUUAAUAAAUUUGAUCAAAUUAGAUAAGUUUGACUUAGAGUAAAAUUAAAGUGAAGAAGUAAUUUCGGAAAAAAAAGCGAGUAGCACAGAAUAUUUUCUGAAAGAGUCAUCGUGAUGAAAUGGUUUAUGAUCACUCGUCUACUUUGUGGCAUUGUUUUCUGAUUUUUUUUUUUAAUUUUGGCUGUAGCAAUUAGCAUAGAGGGAGAGAGCUUGAUCAACCUAGAAGAACAAGGUGGCUUCCCAUACUAGAAGAAAUAGGCACCCAAUCGAGCUAGCUUAGUUCGUUCAAUUAGCAUAGGACAUAACAAAAUUAUAUUUUUAGAAUAUGAUUUUGCGUGUGUUUUCAUUGUUUAUGAUGAUGAGAAGUGAAAAAAAACCCCCCAUAUAUGUGCGUAUCUUCGUCGUUUCAGUUUAACAUGUGUGUAUUCAUCAUUUCAAUUGGAUGGGAAUAUACGAAUGAGCAUAGUCACUUGUUAACACAUUCCGAUUCCAGAAUUCAAGUUUCAUUCAUUCAAAUUGGGAAAAGCUAUCCAUUGCUCGGGUGUUUUAGGAGCUCCCGUCACCUGAAUUUUGUACCGUCCAAUCUAACGAUGUGUGGUGCUCAUUCAUUCGCUUUCCCGUUACCUGCUGCUACCCACUGCCUCCUGCUGCAGCUGGCACAGCUCUCUGCCUCCUACUGCAGCCUGCGCCGCUCUCUGCUUCCUGCAGCGCUCCGACCAGGAGGCAGUCAUCUGAGCAUGUGUUGCAAGCAGGUAGACAACGCUCCGACUAGGCCAUGGUGACCGAUUUUGAGCUGAGACACCGUGCGGCCUCGUGCUCCCCCGUGAUAUAUCGGCAGUGCAAGCCUAGUUGAAGGGAGGCAGUAGAGUUUGCUAGCAUUUACCGUUUGAAUUAUAUUAAUUUACAGUGCUUUAGUUGUUGUAAAUUAUUUAAACUUGUCAUGUAAAUGAGUUGCAAUUUUUAAUUUUGAAAUCUGAUUUGUAUUUUUGCAUUCGAGGGGUUUCUCACAAUUAUAAAUAAUUUGUUAUCCGACUGACUAUAGAAAAAAUUUGUUAUCCGAUUGACUAUAGAAAAAAUUUGUUUCAGUUGUUAAUUUUGCCUUUUGCAUGUUAUUUUUCUUUCUCUUUUCUGCAUCAUUUUAUUUACUAUGUGCUCUGUAUAGUUGUUUUCUUUCUGCAUCAUCUAAUCAGGAUCCUAGAGCCAUAAUUUUCGGGUGACAGAUCUGUUUCCAACGCCUGAUUUUUUUCCACUUCAAAACAGGGUGUUAUACCCCUGCAAAUCACCCGGGUGAUUGUUGGCCCAAUAAUACCCCGGUGAGGAGUAGACACUCCCUUCAAAUUUUAUCUGAAAUACAACCUUACGGCAGCAGGAAGGGAAUGCAACGUGGCUUACCACUUGGCGCGCAAAUGCACCGUGGGAUCCAUUAAGCUGUGCUAGGUGCGUGACAUGUGGCAUGCUACUCACCAUGCCAAGUCAUCCGCCAACGGUCCUAGCUGGUUUAUAAAUCUCUUCCCUCCGUUGGCAACCUUCCUGGUUCCAAACAACACGAACAACCCAGAGAAAAAAGUUUCGGAGGGGUGAACAAUGUGCGGAGGCGCCAUCCUCACGGAGCUGAUCCCGUCGCCACGGCGCGCGGCGUCGAAGCCGGUGACCGCGGGCCACCUCUGGUCGGCGGGUUCCAACUCCAAGAAAGCCGGCAACGGCAGUGACAAGGGGCACCACCACGCCGACAUCGACGACUUCGAGGCAGCCUUCGAGGACUUCGACGACGAAUUUGACGAGGAGGUGGAGGAUCACCACUUCGUGUUCUCGGCCAAAUCCGCAUUCUCCCCAGGUAAUCAACGUCGUCGCUGCUCAUUAAUUCAAGGGUGUUCAAUAAUCUGUAUCGGCAAGAAUGUUCACGCACGUUCUUGGGUUUGAUCGUGACGUGCGCAAGAGCUGUUAGUGUAAUCUCAAGGGAAAGAACUCUUGUAGCCCACGGCGGGCGCGCGGCGAGCCAGAAGAAGCGCGGCCGCCGCCACUUCCGCGGCAUCCGGCAGCGGCCCUGGGGCAAGUGGGCGGCGGAGAUCCGCGAUCCGCACAAGGGCACCCGCGUCUGGCUCGGCACCUUCGACACCGCCGAGGACGCCGCCCGAGCCUACGACGUCGAGGCACGCCGCCUCCGCGGCAGCAAGGCCAAGGUCAACUUCCCGGCGGCCGGCGCGCGCCCACGCCGCCGCGGCAACCCGAGAGCCGCGCCGAAACCGCAGCACCACCAUGCUGCAGCGGCGGAGCAGCCCGCGUUGCUCGCAGGAGAGAAGAAGCAGGAGGAGAUCGCCGUGAAGCCUGAAAUUACGGUGUCGUUCGACGUGGACGGUUUCUUCAACAUGACCUUCCCCGCCUUCCCCGCCGCGCCGCUGGCCAUGGAGAGCUCCUUCACCGGCAGCACCGAGCCGGAGUCCGGUAGCCCCGCGAAGAAGCCGAGAUACGACAACGAGUCGUCUGGUGGGAUGAGCUCCGGCGGUGGCUCCACGCUGGAGCUCGCUGACGAGCUGGCGUUCGAUCCGUUCACGCUGCUCCAGCUGCCCUACUCGGGCGGGUACGAGUCCCUCGACGGCCUGUUCGCCGUCGACGCCGCCCAGGACGUGAACGGCGUGAACAACGGCAUGGACGGCGUCAGCCUGUGGAGCUUCGACGACUUCCCUGCUGACAGCGCUGUCUUCUAAUGUGUAACCUACCAGUUGCGCUCAGUUGUAAGCACCUGAACUGAAUCCAUAGCCAUGGCUUCUGUUCCUUGUGUUCGUCUACUACUGGAUCACGAUCACCCUUUGUCAGGAUCUGGUUCUUGGUUCAGGAACGGCGUCGGUGCUCAACCGGACGAUCGAUGCGGCUGAGGGCGACUGGCCAUCGCUUUGCUUGGUGUUUGGUGUGUAAUCAUACGUCAGAUUACUGUACUGCAAGCGUUUGCUUGCUAGAACCUGUAUCUGUACUGCCGGCCUCCUGAUCAAACCUGUACUCUCUACUAUGAAUAUUUGUACUACUCGUUUGGGUGCUUUGCACUACUGUUGGUCAAUAGUCCUAUGAAUUCGAUCAUGUCGGCAAUGGUCGUCUAUAUUGUACGGUUGUGAUUGUUAUGCCAAAUAAACUUUGUGAACCUGGUUCUACAUGCAGUAUCUUGUUCAUGUGUCACCUAGCCACCCUGCCAUGCUUGAGUUGGAGCGUGCAAGGCGAUCAUAAUUUUCUGAAUCCUGUUAGAUGGUGAACAAUUUUGCUUCCUGUAUAGGUUGUGUCUUGUGUAACUUCGUGUAAACAUGGCAUAACUUCACUAUUUUUUAAACAAAAAAUACAUGGAUCUUGCAAAAUUACCUACUUGCAAACAUGUAAAAGAAAGGCUCCAUAACAAGCAUAACUUCACUAUUUUUUAAACAAAAAAUACAUGGCGUGCUAAUCUUUUUUCGAAACGAACAGGCAGGGGCCGAUUAUAUUAAAAAGAAGGAGUUCUAGAUUGAAAAGAUAAAAAAUAGAAUAAAAAAAAUAAAAUAGACUCGCCCGGUUGUAUUGGGACAUCAACACGGGUAGUCACUCAACUCAACACUGCCAGACGCGAUCGGUUAGAUUGGGACAUUAACGCAGCCUCAUCACUCCACUCGCCAUGGCGUCACCCACCAACCUCCAUGCUUAUAAUAUGCCGAAACCUCCAAGCGUGACCCGGCGUCGACAAGGAACCGAUAGAAACGGACCGCACCGCACCAAAAAGGCCACCGCCAUGUGGGACCUUCUGCUGUAGUAUCGCUGCAACACCACACUCCACCUGAAAGGGUGAAACCACCGAAUCCGGACCUCUCGCGGGCUGCCUCGCAGUCGCCACCAUGAUAACACAACGCGAGAGGGCCUUGCCACAUCCACCGUGAGACUCCACCUCACUCUCGUUGCUUCGAAGAAAAACACCACGCACGGAUCCGUUUCUUUUGUCGUUGUCCGAGUGGUGAGCAAGGUUGCCCCGCUCCACAAGCUCUCCUCGAUCAGCCAAGCCGGCGCCACAGGGUCGACCUCGCCUCAUUGCUUCACCCACGCACAAGCAUCCGCCGCCAUGUCAGCAAACCAGAGAAGUCGCUUGCGCCGCCUUCUGACAAUGUACCGCAUCAGGUAGCCCAGCCAAGCUGAGCAACCCGCCGUGAUCCGCUGCAAGCCUAGUUAUCCCAUGAUGCCGUUGCCGCAAGCGUUGUCCUCCGACGCAGUCCCACGCCGCACUGACCGUUGCCAAGCAACACCAGGCGUCGUGGUCCACUGCAAGCGGCCAAGACCGACAUCAUGUGACAGCCCCUGACCGCCACCAUAACUGCGAUCAUCUCCAUGUGGCCUCUGCAACACACGUCCAGCUUGCCACACGGCAGAAUUGUCGCCAACGGCUGCGGCCAUCCAUGACUUAUGGACCAGGAAUGCCAUAGAUCGAGAUGGGUCUCUAGAGAUGAUGCCUCCAAGGAGGGCACGAUGCCAAUGGUGCCGCCGUCGCUCGUCCAGAAUCUGGACAGAGUUUUCACCCAGAAGCCCCCGCGCCAUAGGAUUGUAGCUCAGAAAUGACGCCCCCAACGAGGAGAAUGACGCCGCUGUCAUCUCCACCAGCAAGCACCGGCGGGGCUUUUGCCUAGAGCAUCCCAACCCCUGCACGCUCACGGCUCGGCACUCCCGGCCACAGUCACAGCAGCCUGUUCGGGGCAUCAUCGCCGUCGCGCCUCCUCACACUGCCGUACCUCCACCUUCGAUCUCACACCGGCAGUCAUCCUCCUUGCCGGCUGCUGCACUCCCUCCGCGUCUCCUCCUUCGGCACCUCCUCCACAACUCCUCCUCCCGGCCGCCCCUCCACAACUCCUUCUCCAUCGGGCCGCCUCAAACGCGCUCCGUCAUCCACCGGGGCUGGGGGCUCCCGCCGCACCCGCCAACCUUCACUAGGCCGCCUCCACCAUCGCGCGACCUCGGCCAUGGCGUCGAGCGCCCAGUCGAGCUCGUUGACGGAGUAACCCAGUAGCUCGAUGCAGUCGCGCAUCGCCAUCUCCCCGCGCGUGUAGUUGGAUGGCGUGACGAGCCCCCUGACUGCCCCUGCAGUGCUCACAGCCUCGUCGAGCCCGCCGCGUCACCGGCGAGCGUGGUGGGUGGCGCGGCGCCGCCCGUAGCGCAGGAAAAGCGAUCGGAGCCCGCGUCCGCAGCGCAGAGCAUGCGGCCCGACACACCGGGGGCACGUCCACAGAGCGGGACUCCCCCGCCGCCAGUGCGAAGCCCGUGGUGGAGAGCGGCGACGACCCCGCGCUCGACGAGAGCCCCCCGCCGUCUUCACCCGGGCCGCCGCCGCCUUCGCACGACCGCUUGCCGGCGUGGUUCGGGGGCAACGGAUCCGAGGGCGUGGAGGCCGGAUCCGCCCACGGCAGGGUCGGAUCCGGGCUGCUGUUGCCGCUGUGGCGCGCCAGCGGCCGAGGUCCUUGUGCCGCCCCGCCUCGGCGCACGAGUCCCGGAUCAGCCGGUCUACCCUACCGCCGCUGUCCUCAGGAGCCGGACGGGCUUCCGGCGGCCCCCUCCGACGGCGGCAAGGUGGUCACGAGGGUGGGGGGGAGGGGGGUUAGCGGUGGCAGCUCGGGCGCUGCGCGUGUCGCUCGCGGGAGGAGCGACGCGGCGGCAUGCCAAUCAGAACCCCUGAAAAAGAAUAGUUCAGAGAACAUGAACAUAUCAUUUCUACGUGCUGGCAACAGUUCUUUGCCAUUUCAUUUAUUCCAUGAGACCAUGACACCAAAUUUCGACCACCUGGGAAAACAAUUGUCUCAAUUUUCUAGGUAUUGCUAUUUCUACGUGCUGGCAACAGUUCUUUGCCAUUUCAUUUAUUCCAUGAGACCAUGACACCAAAUUUCGACCACCUGGGAAAACAAUUGUCUCAAUUUUCUAGGUAUUGCUUCACGAAAUAGUCUUGUGAGUUGCGACGGAUGCAGAAACCACCUCGCAAUCCGGUGGGCGCACUACUGGUUUUCGACAGCUGCCGGACGAUAAUUUAGGCUGCAAUUUGCACACCUUGCUAUUAUCUUGCUCGCCCCGAUGUAGUUGCGACCGCGACUCGGCUCAACUACGUUCCAAACUGAAUUGAGUUGCAGGAUUCUCAAGCAAAAGAUAGAAAAAUUCACAAGUGGAGGCAGAAAAGCAAACGCCUCAGCCCUCGCGUUUUUUUGGCUGCAACUUGAUGACCUGAGGGCCAUGCCAUUAUCAGUCGGCAGCGCCUAUUUUAACUUCAGAAAACUGCCAGUUGCGCCGACUCGGCCCUCUUCAGAAUCUGCCCGUGAUGAUGGCCUGAUUUCGCCGCCCAUGAUUCUUCGCAACGAUUGGAUCUUCCCAGCAUGGUUGCUGAUAAAAUUAGUUGCCUAGGUCGCCAAUAAUUUGUUUGGCUACUCUUCUCACCUGUUCCGUUAGCUGGAGAAUUCUCCCCAUCACAUCGUUGUAGAGGAAUUAUAGAAUCCUCGACCCUCUAGAUGCAAAGUUCUUUUCAGCAAAACAAAAGGUUGCUCACAAGCUUAUCCAUUUCUGGCACAGAACGACAGAACCUUCAAGAUCGAUAAGGCUAACCAGUGCCACUGUUAGUUGUGUCCUCAGAGCACUGUUACUUGUCCAUGCUUGUACAGAGAAGGGGAUGACUCGACAAGUUUGGUUAAGGGUUGUCGCCUCUAGAAGAGAUUUUGGAUUUUGUUGUGAAGUUGCAGAGAUGGAAGCGCCUCCGGUCGAUCUUCUUCUCCUUCGAUUUAAAGCCUGCAUAAACAGAGCACAGAGCACACUGCACUUUUGAAGAAACUGUUGCUUCACAGUCUGAAAUUGGUUGGAUACAACAGCAUUUCCAAUUCACACCAAGACCUCAGAAAGAGAGAGGAAGCGUAGAUGAAACCAAAAUCGCCUCUCACUCUGAUGAAACCAAAUUCACGCCAACAGCAUUUCCAAUUCACGCCAAGACUCGUAAAGGGCCUUACCAAAAUCACCUCUUUCUGCUGAAACCAAUGCAGUCAAUAAGAGGAACUCACAGUCCUUCAUAGUUGAGGCAUCACCUUGGACAGGGGCAGCACUUGACAACUGACAGGGCCCGAUGAGCAAUGUGCAUGACUUGGGAUGCUAUAAGUAGCAAUGCCACGUCAUGUGUAUACGCAUCAAACCGCAGGGCUCCCAACGUUUUCUGCAAAAGGGGUUUGGGACGGUCUUAUACUAGUAUGGCAUGGAUGAUACGCCUCUAGAUUCUGUCCUAUCUGCAAAUAGCAGUUGCCAACUCUGCAAGUCUGUGGGAGACUGGGAAUAGAAAAGUAGAAAACCCAGGGCCACGGGACUCUCGGACCGCCCAUGGCUUCGUGGGCUGAAAAGAGCCCAUGGUAUCGCACAGGGGCACAGAAUUUUUUUAUAUAGAAGUAGACCGCUGCAGCUGGAAUAAACGGCGGAAAAAUUCAAACGGUGGUAAUUUCUCAAGAUAGUAUACUUUUAAAAAAUCAUAUCUAAUUCGUAUGAAUUUAGAUAGAGGUAAACUUUAUAUGAAAAUUGUAGAUCUUGAUGAGAUCUAUCGAGAUCUACAACUUUGUAGUUUAAAAUUUUUUAUCAUCUUGGUACUCAAUUAAUCGUCGACUCAAUUAAUCGACACAAGUUUAAAACUGAGCAGCACACAUUCAAAAAAUCAUAACUAAUUCGUAUGAACUCGGAUAGAGAUAAGUUUUAUAUAAAAAUUGUAGCUCUAGAUGAGAUUUACAACUUUGUAAUUUAAAUUGUUUUCAUUUGGUUUCUUUUUUUCUCAAAUAAUCAACACAAGUUUCAGAUCUAAAAUUGAAUUUUAGAUCUGAAACUCGUGUUGAUUGUUUGAGUAUCAAGAUGACACCAAAUGAAAAAAGUUUGAUCUACAAAGUUGUAGAUAUCAUCGAGAUCUACAGUUCUUAUGAAUUUCCAUCCGAGUUCAUACGAAUUAGUUACGAUUUUUUGGAAAUGUGAAAGGAAGUUACUGCCGAUUCAACUAGUUUACUUCCGCCAUUUAAUUCGACAGUAGAGAUCUAUUUCUGCAAAUUUUUAAAUCCGCUAUUUAUUUCUGCAAAAUCGUGAAAGAAAAAAUAUAGAAAUAAAAAAAAUUCAGGGGCACACAUAGCAGAGUCUGUGGGCGCACACAAUAUAGAGGGAGAAAGAGAAACCGGCGCGCGCGGUUUGUUUGGUUGGGUGCGGCGACGAAGACGACGACGCCCACGGUCUCCCACGGUCUUCAACGGCCCACGCCAUCCGGUUCCUCUAUUUACAGUUCCCACGCGCGAGAUUUUCCCUUCACGGUCGCUCUCCCGCGUUUGCAAGCUUCCAACAUCCAGACGAUAUGUGCGGGGGAGCGAUCCUAGCCGAGCUCAUCCCGGCGCGGGUGCACCGCCCGCUGACGGUCGCCACGCUCUGGCCGGCGGCGGCGGCCGAUGGCAGGACCACUACCGCCGGCCGCAAGCGGAAGGCGUCCGACGUCGACGAGUCCGAGGCCGCAACCGACGACGAGUUCGAGGCCGAGUUCCGGCUUUUCGAGGAGGACGAGGAACCGUCUCCGGCCGCCUCGCCUGAAGCCGUCGGUGGCCGCAGGUCCAGGACUGCCCCUUCUCCUGCAGGUACGAUCAAUCAGACCACCGGCGGCCAACUUCGAGCUAGCACUUCGUCUGCAAGAAAGACGUGUUCACUUUUUUUCCUCGUGUUCCCGUGCGUGACGCAUGCACGGCACGCGGUUUCAGUUUCAGGCGCCGCCGUUUCCACGAGUCCGGGUCCAAGCAGCCACAAGAAGUACAGGGGCGUCCGGUACCGGCGGUCGGGCAGGUGGGCGGCGGAGAUCAGGGACCCGCGGCAGGGGCGGCGCGCGUGGCUCGGCACCUACUGCACCGCCGAGGAGGCCGCCCGGGCGUACGACCGCGAGGCCCACCGGAUCCGCGGGAAGAGCGCGCGCCUCAACUUCCCGAUCCCGCACGAGGACCUGCCCAGGCGGCGAACGCCGGUGGCCAUCGACCUGAACGUUGCGGCAGUUUCCGAUGAUCUCGACACCGUGGAUGUUGACGGAGAUGCGGGUGACAUUCGCCAUGAAGGUAAUACGUCGUGACAGCAUGCUUACACAGUUACACUUAAUUAACACUAGUUCAGUACAGUACUGAGUGUUCACUGGUACAAUGGCGUCGUUGCUGCAUGUCUUCGCAGAGAUGGGCGGUGAGGCGGUGAGGCGCACGAUAGCGUGGAUCAAGGAACUGAUAACGCAGGGUCCUCAGGACGAGAGGAUCGUGCCUGAACUGAAGAUGAACGGAGCGUUGCGGUAUGCGGCGUUGAUCGCCGAAUGCAGCCGUCAGAUGGAGGAGAUCGCCGCCCUGCGGAGGGACCUCGAGACCCGCGAGAGGCAGCUUGUCCGGCUGGUUUCAAAUGUG
rnacentral:lncRNA from 1 species